UACGGAGGGUGCAAACGUUGCUCGGAAUCAUUGGGCGUAAAGCGCACGUAGGCGGUCCGGUAAGUCGGAUGUGAAAGCCCUCGGCUCAACCGAGGAAGUGCAUUCGAAACUGCCGGACUUGAGUACGGGAGAGGGAUGCGGAAUUCCCGGUGUAGAAGUGAAAUUCGUAGAGAUCGGGAGGAACACCAGUGGCGAAGGCGGCAUCCUGGACCGAUACUGACGAUGAGGUGCGAAAGUGUGGGGAGCAAACAGG
rnacentral:rRNA from 1 species